rnacentral:rRNA from 1 species
CGGACGGGUGAGUAAUGUCUGGGAAACUGCCCGAUGGAGGGGGAUAACUACUGGAAACGGUAGCUAAUACCGCAUAACGUCGCAAGACCAAAGAGGGGGACCUUAGGGCCUCUUGCCAUCGGAUGUGCCCAGAUGGGGUUAGCUAGUAGGUGGGGUAAUGGCUCACCUAGGCGACGAUCCCUAGCUGGUCUGAGAGGAUGACCAGCCACACUGGAACUGAGACACGGUCCAG